rnacentral:lncRNA from 1 species
AAAAAGUGUAGAGAAUUCUCUGGCAUAUAUUUUACUGUAUUUCACUAUAUGUGUAAAGGGAGGGAGAUUGACUCUUUUAUGAAAUACAAUUAACGCAAAAAAUGUUACUCAUAAUGAUAGUAUAUUUUAGCUCCAAAAAGGACAGCACCACUUAUUCUAUAUACGAGUGCAACACUUUGACAUCGUUAUUGUGGAGAGUUACUAUUGAUGUCCAUUUCAUAUACAUUUGUAUAUAUAGAAAAGCAAUUUUAGUUUAUAGUAAAGCACUUCGACAAAUGUCACCGCAAUAUCUCAAUGCAUGUAUAUAUGUGCAUCAAGUUAGUUCUAGCACAUCCACAC